rnacentral:rRNA from 1 species
GGGUUGUGAGGUUAAGCGACUAAGCGUACACGGUGGAUGCCCUGGCAGUCAGAGGCGAUGAAGGGCGUGCUAAUCUGCGAUAAGCGCCGGUAAGGUGAUAUGAACCGUUAUAACCGGCGAUACCCGAAUGGGGAAACCCAGUGUGAUUCGUCACACUAUCAUUAACUGAAUCCAUAGGUUAAUGAGGCGAACCGGGGGAACUGAAACAUCUAAGUACCCCGAGGAAAAGAAAUCAACCGAGAUUCCCCCAGUAGCGGCGAGCGAACGGGGAGGAGCCCAGAGCCUGAAUCAGCAUGUGUGUUAGUGGAAGCGUCUGGAAAGGCGCGCGAUACAGGGUGACAGCCCCGUACACAAAAGCGCAUGUGCUGUGAGCUCGAUGAGUAGGGCGGGACACGUGGUAUCCUGUCUGAAUAUGGGGGGACCAUCCUCCAAGGCUAAAUACUCCUGACUGACCGAUAGUGAACCAGUACCGUGAGGGAAAGGCGAAAAGAACCCCGGCGAGGGGAGUGAAAAAGAACCUGAAACCGUGUACGUACAAGCAGUGGGAGCACCCUUCGGGGUGUGACUGCGUACCUUUUGUAUAAUGGGUCAGCGACUUAUAUUCUGUAGCAAGGUUAACCGAAUAGGGGAGCCGGAGGGAAACCGAGUCUUAACCGGGCGUUAAGUUGCAGGGUAUAGACCCGAAACCCGGUGAUCUAGCCAUGGGCAGGUUGAAGGUUGGGUAACACUAACUGGAGGACCGAACCGACUAAUGUUGAAAAAUUAGCGGAUGACCUGUGGCUGGGGGUGAAAGGCCAAUCAAACCGGGAGAUAGCUGGUUCUCCCC